UACGUAGGGUGCAAGCGUUGUCCGGAAUUAUUUGGGCGUAAAGAGCUCGUAGGCGGUCUGUCGCGUCGGCUGUGAAAACCCGGAGCUCAACUCCGGGCCUGCAGUCGAUACGGGCAAACUGGAGUGUUGCAGGGGAGACUGGAAUUCCUGGUGUAGCGGUGAAAUGCGCAGAUAUCAGGAGGAACACCGGUGGCGAAGGCGGCACUCUGGGCCGGUACUGACGCUGAGGAGCGAAAGCGUGGGGAGCGAACAGG
rnacentral:rRNA from 1 species